AAAUUGAAGAGUUUGAUCAUGGCUCAGAUUGAACGCUGGCGGCAGGCCUAACACAUGCAAGUCGAACGGUAACAGGAAACAGCUUGCUGUUUCGCUGACG
rnacentral:rRNA from 2 species